GACGUAGGUGGCGAACGUUUAUCCGGAAUCAUUGGGCGUAAAGGGUGCGUAGGCGGCAUGAUAAGUUAUUGGCGGCAAAUCGAGGCUCAACCUCGUGGAAACUGAUAAUACUGUCUUGCUUGAGUGCAGAAGAGGUUAACGGAACUCCAUGUGGAGCGGUAAAAUGUGUAGAUAUAUGGAAGAACAUCAAUAACGGCGAAGGCAGUUAACUAUUCUGUUACUGACGUUGAGGCACGAAAGCGUGGGGAGCAAAAAGG
rnacentral:rRNA from 1 species